AUGUGCCCUUUGGAAAUUGUGUAUGGUUUUCUACCUCAUGCACCUAUUGAUUUGUUGCCUCUUCCAUCUUCGGAGAAGGUUAAUUUUCAUGCUAAAGAACGUGUUGAAUUGUUUUUAAAAAUGCAUGAGCUAACUAAGGAAAACAUUGAGCGUAUGAAUGCUAAAUAUAAACUUGCUAGAGAUAAGGGUAGAAAACAUGUUGUGUUUGCACCUGGAGAUCUUGUUUGGUUACAUUUGCGUAAGGAUAGAUUUCCUAAUUUGUGCAAAUCAAAGCUAAUUCCACGUGCUACUGGUCCUUUUAAGGUGUUAGAGAAAAUAAAUAAUAAUGCAUAUAAACUUGAGCUGCCUGCAGAUUUUGGGAUUAGUCCCACUUUUAGCAUUGCAGAUUUGAAGCCUUAUUUGGGUGAGGAGGAUGAGCUUUCAUCGAGGACGACUUCAUUUCAAGAAGAGGAGGAUGAUGAGGACAUCAAUACCAUUGUUACACCCACAACCCCUGCUGUUAUACAUACUGGACCAAUUACUAGAGCUCGCGCACACCAAUUGAAUUAUCAGGUACCUUCGUUUCUUGGUAACGAUUCUAAUGUUCAUGAGAAUAUGAUGCUCCCUAAAUUGGAUACAUUUGUUUUGCUUACAAAUGAAGGGCCUAGUUUGGACAAGAAAGAUGAACCUUGGAGCAAGUACAAGCAUGGAGAUGAUGGCAUGCACAAGGGGAUCAAGAACGGAGUUACAAGUGAUGAUUUCAGGACUUUGAAGCCACCAUAA
rnacentral:rRNA from 1 species